CCCGGUCUCUGCCCCCCUCCCCUCUUGCCACAGGUGAGCUCCUGCCCUCCCACCUGGCCGCCGGCCCUUCCCAUCAUGCCCUCACACUGAACUCCUCCCCCUCCUCUCCUCCCCCGGCGUGGGCGUGGUGUCUCUCCCGCCAUGGGUCAGGUGUGCCACUGGGAGGUCAGACUCUGCCUCCAGCAUCAACGCCCUGGAGUAGCAUGACGCCACUUGGGCUGCCUUGGCUCAAGGCGCACACUCACUCUUGGGCAGGAGGCCAAACCUCAGCUCUCAGGCUGAAAUGUGGGAAAGAAUUAGCUGUGGAAACGUUCAAGGCUGGCACAGAUGGAGGCCUUCCUGGGGACCUUUUGAAAAAUGAGACAGGAGGGAAACAAUAA
ensembl:lncRNA